GGUUUUCGGACCUAGAGACCGGCGCACGGGUGCGUAACGCGUAUGCAAUCUACCUUUUACAGAGGGAUAGCCCAGAGAAAUUUGGAUUAAUACCUCAUAGUAUUAUUGAAUGGCAUCAUUUAAUAAUUAAAGUCACAACGGUAAAAGAUGAGCAUGCGUCCCAUUAGCUUGUUGGUAAGGUAACGGCUUACCAAGGCAACGAUGGGUAGGGGUCCUGAGAGGGAGAUCCCCCACACUGGUACUGAGACACGGACCAGACUCCUACGGGAGGCAGCAGUGAGGAAUAUUGGUCAAUGGGCGCAAGCCUGAACCAGCCAUGCCGCGUGCAGGAUGAAGCAUCUAUGGUGUGUAAACUGCUUUUGUACGAGAAGAAACACUCCUUCGUGAAGGAGCUUGACGGUAUCGUAAGAAUAAGGACCGGCUAACUCCGUGCCAGCAGCCGCGGUAAUACGGAGGGUCCAAGCGUUAUCCGGAAUCAUUGGGUUUAAAGGGUCCGUAGGCGGUUUUGUAAGUCAGUGGUGAAAGCCCAUCGCUCAACGGUGGAACGGCCAUUGAUACUGCAAGACUUGAAUUAUUAGGAAGUAACUAGAAUAUGUAGUGUAGCGGUGAAAUGCUUAGAUAUUACAUGGAAUACCAAUUGCGAAGGCAGGUUACUACUAAUUGAUUGACGCUGAUGGACGAAAGCGUGGGGAGCGAACAGGAUUAGAUACCCUGGUAGUCCACGCCGUAAACGAUGGAUACUACCUGUUCGGAGCAAUCUGAGUGGCUAAGCCAAAGU
rnacentral:rRNA from 1 species